rnacentral:rRNA from 1 species
AGGAUGAACGCUAGCGGGAGGCUUAAUACAUGUAAGUCGUACGGUAAGGAAUCUUCGGAUUCCCUAGAGUGGCGUACGGGUGAGUAACACGUAUGUAAUCUGCCCCUAUCUGGGGAGAUAGCCCUUCGAAAGGAGGAUUAAUAUCCCAUAAUAUAAUUGGAUGGCAUCAUUUGAUUAUUAAAGCUCCGGCGGAUAGGGAUGAGCAUGCGUCCUAUUAGUUAGUUGGUGAGGUAACGGCUCACCAAGACUUCGAUAGGUAGCUGGUCUGAGAGGAUGAUCAGCCACACGGGCACUGAGACGACGGGCCCGACUCCUA